GGAUGUGAGGGCAAUCUUGUCGUGACAUCUAUCACCCCCAUUAAUCACCAGGGUUUGUCCCUGGUGAUUUCCCUUAUGCUUCCCUUAUGCUCUAUAUAUGUUCCUCCCAAAAGAGAACCAUUUCCUCAGCCAAGGGUAUAUGAGAAGCUGCACACCCCUGCUAGAAUUGCCAAACAAACUCUCAAACAGUGAUCUCCUGCCUCAGCCUCUGGACUAUUGGUAUUAAAUGCCUGUGUCACCACACUCAGCCAUGAAGGAUUAACUACACUACUAGCGAAGCAAAGUGAUGGCUGUUUUUUUUU
ensembl:misc_RNA 7SK 7SK RNA